GACUCACAAGCGAAGUUGACGCGUUUGUUUUUUUGUUUCGUUUUUUGCUUGUAAACCCUUGGUUCUUGGGUUGAUUACCACAUCCUUCGUGAAAAAUUCACAGUUCCAGAUAUUCAUUCACCUGCAGCAAGGUGAGAUGCAGUGGCAGUGGCAGCGGCAAGCAUACAAGUCAAUCAAAGGAAUCAGCCGAGAAAAUCCAGUUCAUACCCCAGCCUACAAACUUUAGGAAAUGAUGUCAGCAAAAUAAAGAUUAUCCUUUGCCAAAUGCUACCGAAAUGAAAUGAAUGGCGGAGGCUAACACUGGUGUACUUACACCAGAAAUGCGAGAAGCUGCGGCCGCGAUGAAGGCGAAUGAAAAGUGAAAAUACGCGUGUGAGCUAUGUAAUCUCUAAGUUAAAGAAAUAAAAUUCACUUUUGAAAUCGA